AGGCAAAAAAAACCCUGAAACUCGCUGUUUUUGUUACCAAGAUGAAAAGUUUUGUGUCAGAAGAAUUGUUUAAGGGGAAAACGCAAAAAGAAGAAUUUUAAGACCAAAAAUAUGCGAUUUGUGGCAGAAAUUUGCCCCAAAAUCCCAAUUUUUGCCCCCAAAUUCCUUGAUCUGUUCGGUCAGAAAAUGGUUAUUUUUAAAAAUCGUCUUUUUCAGCUUUUUAGCACCAAAAUUUGGCGCUUAUUUCUCACUUUGGCAGCCCUGAAAAAUGACAUUUUUGGUCAAACUGGUGGGUUUUGGCACAAAGUGGGGACUUGGGUGAAAAAUUUGGGUUUUUUUGGCCCAAAAUGGGAUUUGGGGGAAAAAAUGAGCAAUUUUGGUUAAAAAAAAAAUCACAUUUGGGGUGAAAAACUCAGAAUUUUGGCCAAAAAUGGGGAUUCACUUCUGGGAAUUUUAAUAAAAAUCGCUAUUUUCACCCCAAUUUUUUCCUCUGCCGCCGAAAUCUUCAUUUUGAUGUUUUUCUCCCCAAAACGACGCCCCCGCGACCGAAAAUGGCCGUUUUUCGCUUUUCCGCCCCAAAAAAGCCCGUUUCGGCCUCGUUUCGCCCCGCUGGGUUCACGCCGCCGCCCCCGAAACUUGCGGUUUUCGACCCAAAAUGAAACGAGGCUUCUCGCUCAUGGAAAAAAAACCAAAAAGGGCCGAAUUCCGCCCAAAAUGACAACGCGGACCGCAGCGCCCCCUAGUGGACAAACGAGGAAUUGCGUCUGCGGGCACUAUGGGGCGCCACGGGGCACUAUGGGGCAGCUAUGGGGCAGCUACGGGUCUCUAUGGGUCUCUAUAGGUCUCUAUGGGUCUUUAUGGGUCUCUAUGGGUCUCUGUGGGUCUCCAUGGGUCGCUAUGGGUCCUUAUGGGGCUCUAUCAGUCCCUAUGGGUCGCUAUGGGUCCCUAUGGGUCUCUAUGGGUCGCUAUGGGUCUCUAUGGGUCGCUAUGGGGCUCUAUGGGGCAGCUAUGGGUCUCUAUGGGUCGCUAUGGGGCUCUAUGGGGCAGCUAUGGGUCACUAUGGGUCACUAUGGGUCUCUAUGGGAUCUAUGGGGCACUGUGGGUCUCUAUGGGGCAGCUAUGGGUCUAUAUGGGUCUCUGUGGGUCUCUAUGGGUUUCUAUGGGGUCUCUAUGGGUCUCUAUGUGUCCCUAUGGGUCGCUAUGGGUCUCUAUGGGUCUCUAUGGGUCUCUAUGGGUUGCUAUGGGGCUCUAUGGGUCGCUAUGGGGGUGCCAUGGGGCAGCUAUGUGCCUCUAUGGGUCUCUAUGGGUCCCUAUGGAUCUCUGUGGGUCUCUAUGGGUCUCUAUGGGUCGCUAUGGGGCGCUAUGGUUCUCUAUGGGUCACUGUGGGUCGCUAUGGGUCGCUAUGGUGUCCCUAUGGGUCUCCAUGGGUCUCUAUGGGUCGCUGUGUGUCCUAUGGGUCUCUAUGGGGCAGCUAUGGGUCACUAUGGGGCAGCUAUGUGUCUCUAUAGGUCUCUAUGGGGCACUAUGUGUCUCUAUGGGUCUCUGUGGGUCGCUAUGAGGCAGUUAUGGGUCGCUAUGGGUCCUUAUGGGGCUCUAUGGGUCUCUAUGGGGCUCUAUGGGUCUCUAUGGGUCUCUGUGGGGUCUCUAUGGGGCGAUAUGGGGUCGCUAUAGGGCUCUGUGGGUCUCUAUGGGUCGCUGUGGGUCCCGCU
ensembl:lncRNA